rnacentral:rRNA from 1 species
UAAACUGGAGAGUUUGAUCCUGGCUCAGAACGAACGCUGGCGGCGUGCUUAACACAUGCAAGUCGAACGAGAAAGAGUUCUUCGGAACUUGAGUAAAGUGGCGCACGGGUGAGUAACGCGUAGAUAACCUGCCCU